GAUGAAGAACGUAGCGAAAUGCGAUAAGUAAUGCGAAUUGCAGAAUUUCCGUGAGUCAUCGAAUCUUUGAACGCACAUUGCGCCCCUUGGUAUCCCGAGGGGCAUGCCUGUUCGAGCGUCAUUUCACCACUCAAGCCUGGCUUGGUGUUGGGCGACGUCCUCUUUGGGGACGCGCCUCGAAACGCUCGGCGGCGUGGCACCGGCUUUAAGCGUAGCAGAAUCUUUCGCUUUGGAAGUCGGGGCCCCGUCUGCCGGAAGACCUGCUCGCAAGGUUGACCUCGGAUCAGGCAGGGAUACCCGCUGAACUUAAGCAUAUCAAUAAGCGGAGGA
rnacentral:misc_RNA from 1 species